UUACGUGACCACAUACCACGUUGGAAACAUCGGUUUUCGUUUGAUCACUGAAAAUGAGCAACUUUGGACCCGGUUAGUACUUGCCUGGGUGGGAAAACCGGGUGUUGCGGCCG
rnacentral:rRNA from 1 species